rnacentral:rRNA from 1 species
AUACGGAGGGUGCAAGCGUUAAUCGGAAUUACUGGGCGUAAAGCGUACGUAGGCGGUUCGUUAAGUUAGAUGUGAAAGCCCCGGGCUUAACCUGGGAACUGCAUUUAAAACUGGCGAACUAGAGUUGAGUAGAGGGGAGUGGAAUUUCAGGUGUAGCGGUGAAAUGCGUAGAGAUCUGAAGGAACACCAGUGGCGAAGGCGGCUCCCUGGACUCAAACUGACGCUGAGGUACGAAAGCGUGGGUAGCAAACAGGAUUAGAUACCCUAGUAGUCC